rnacentral:rRNA from 1 species
GCGUAGGCGGAUUGGUAAGUCAAGUGGUGAAAUCCUCUCGCUUAACGGGAGAAUUGCCGUUGAUACUAUCAAUCUUGAGUACACUUGAAGUGGCCGGAAUGUGUCAUGUAGCGGUGAAAUGCAUAGAUAUGACACAGGACACCGAUUGCGAAGGCAGCUCACUAAAUUGUAACUGACGCUGAGGCACGAAAGCGUGGGGAGCAAACAGGAUUAGAUACCCUGGUAGUCCACGCUGUAAACGAUGAUCACUAGCUGUUGGCGAUACACUGUCAGCGGCUGAGCGAAAGUAUUAAGUGAUCCACCUGGGGAGUACGAUCGCAAGGUUGAAACUCAAAGGAAUUGACGGGGGCCCGCACAAGCGGAGGAGCAUGUGGUUUAAUUCGAUGAUACGCGAGGAACCUCACCUAGGCUUAAAUGCUUUUUGACCGUCCUGGAAACAGGAUUUCCCUUCGGGGCAAAUUGCAAGGUGCUGCAUGGUUGUCGUCAGCUCGUGCCGUGAGGUGUCGGGUUAAGUCCCAUAACGAGCGCAACCCCUAUUCUUAGUUGCCAUCAGGUAAUGCUGGGAACUCUAAGGAAACUGCCUACGCAAGUAGUGAGGAAGGUGGGGAUGACGUCAAAUCAGCACGGCCCUUACGCCUAGGGCUACACACGUGCUACAAUGGCCAGCAUAGUGGGUUGCUACCUGGUAACAGGAUGCUAAUCUCUAAAUCUGGUCUCAGUUCGGAUUGAAGUCUGCAACUCGACUUCAUGAAGUUGGAUUCGCUAGUAAUCGCGCAUCAGCAAUGGCGCGGUGAUACGUUCCCGGGCCUUGUACACACCGCCCGUCAAGCCAUGGAAGCUGGGAGUGCCUGAAGUCUGUAACCGCAAGGAGCGGCCUAGGGUAAAACCAGUAACUGGGGCUAAG